rnacentral:rRNA from 1 species
UACGAAGGGGGCUAGCGUUGUUCGGAAUUACUGGGCGUAAAGCGCACGUAGGCGGCUUUGUAAGUUAGAGGUGAAAGCCCAGAGCUCAACUCUGGAACUGCCUUUAAGACUGCAUCGCUUGAAUUGUGGAGAGGUAAGUGGAAUUCCGAGUGUAGAGGUGAAAUUCGUAGAUAUUCGGAAGAACACCAGUGGCGAAGGCGGAUCUCUGGGCCAUUACUGACGCUGAGGAGCGAAAGCGUGGGGAGCGAACGAGG